rnacentral:rRNA from 1 species
UACGAGGGGGGCGAGCGUUGUUCGGAAUUAUUGGGCGUAAAGGGUGCGUAGGCGGUUCCGCAAGUCCUGUGUGAAAUCUUCGGGCUCAACUCGAAGUCUGCACGGGAAACUGCGGGGCUUGAGUGUGGGAGAGGUGAGUGGAAUUCCCGGUGUAGCGGUGAAAUGCGUAGAUAUCAGGAGGAACUCCUGUGGCGAAAGCGGCUCACUGGACCAUAACUGACGCUGAUGCACGAAAGCUAGGGGAGCAAACAGG